GCCGAUUUAGCUCAGUUGGCUAGAGCGCCAGGCUUUUAACCUGGUGGUCGCGGGUUCGAGAGUGUACGAGCAUCCCGCA